ACCCCCAGAGGCACACACCACAAAAAGUGAAGCCAGAGAGAGCCAGACAAAGAGAAGGAUAGAGAGAGAGGGAGAGUUAGACCCCCCCGGAAGAGAAUCAUAGGUGCUGCGGCCUUUUUCGGGAAUGUGACCAGGAAAGAGAGAAACCGACGAGGCCGAUACACACAUUAAAAAAUGAAAAAGUAACCAUCACCGCGAAGGAUUUUCCUCAAAAGACAAAUCAGCAAGAAGUAUGUCCAAUCCCGGGGGCCCAUCGCCCCUCCAAAUUAAUGGAGGGGUCGGAUAGAAAUUUAUAGAAAUGUUACUUUUGUGAAACCCCUAGCCGACGAGAGACUCUCACCGGUUUCGAAGUUCCAUUUUCACAUUCCGACCUGGGAUGUUAUGACUCCUCGGCCCACACUGCGAACGCGUCCCACACCCCCUCCAAGUUUAUCAGGAAUUCACCUGAGCUUGCAAUAGAGAUCGAGCGCGGUGGCGGUCACAGUGGUGGUCGACCAGGCGGAGCUUGAACGGCCUCGGCAAACACUUCUCCCCACCCUCCCAAAUGAAUGAGAGAAUGGCUUGACAAUACCGAGGCCAUCGCCCCCCGCCAAAAAUGGUUACUAGCUCUUGGGACUCGCUGCGACGUUACGCGUAUCGGCACAAGACCAACCCUCUUUUUCCAGUCGCCCGCGCACCAAAAAAAAUUUUGGCAGCGGGACUCACAAUCCUUGACAGCCAGCUCACCAUAUAAUACUCGGCGACCCUCCGCGGGACCUCCUCAGAGGGUCGCGUCGCCGGGAAACUAACCCCCACUCCUCACUGAUCCAAGGUAACACGCCAGAAGUAUCCAGGUAACCCCAGUAGUAUCCAGGUAUCCCCCCUGCGAACGUCGGUACUGGGCUCAAAGAAGGCAGCGAGCAGUCGGGACCCGUAGGCACCGAGCAACCGUCACCCCCUCACGACUUUUCCCGAGACGCUUCAGAGGAACCCUUCCCCCACAUAGUACUCUCUGUGGGAUUCGGCAGGCCCCCCCGUCCUACUGCACUAAGGAAGUUCCGAGACACACUUUUUUUUGUGGAAGACCACCCACCCUCCCUGUCCUGCCUGCUAUCCCCGCCGCGACUCCUGGUCCCGGCCCUCCUCCCCGACUUCCUCCUUGUCCCGCUGCGAGUCCCGGACCUCCUCCCCCACUACCUACUCCCGCCGCGAGUCCCAGUCCCGGCCUUCCUCCUCCUCCUCCUCUUCCCUAGUCCCGGCGCGAGUCCCGGACCUCCUCCCCCACUUCCUAGUCCCGUCGCGAGUCCCGGACCUCCUCCCCCUCUUCCUAGUCCCGGCGCGAGUCCCGGACCUCCUCCUUCUCUUCCUUGUCCCGCCGCGAGUCCCAGUCCCGUCGCGAGUCCCGGACUUCCUCCUUCUCUUCCUUGUCCCGCCGCGACUCCCUAGUCCCGUGGCGAGUCCCGGACUUCCUCCUCCUCUUCCUUGUCCCGCCGCGACUCCCUAGUCCCGGCGCGAGUCCCGGACUUCCUCCUCCUCUUCCUUGUCCCGCCGCGACUCCCUAGUCCCGGCGCGAGUCCCAGUCCCGUCGCGAGUCCCGGACUCCUCCUCCUCUUCCUUGUCCCGCCGCGACUCCCUAGUCCCGGCGCGAGUCCCAGUCCCGUCGCGAGUCCCUUGUCCCGCCGCGACUCCCUAGUCCCGGCGCGAGUCCCAAGUCCCGGCGCGAGUCCCAGUCCCGUCGCGAGUCCCGUGUCCCGCCGCGACUCCCUAGUCCCGGCGCGAGUCCCAGUCCCGUCGCGAGUCCCGGACUUCCUCCUCCUCUUCCUUGUCCCGCCGCGACUCCCUAGUCCCGGCGCGAGUCCCAGUCCCGUCGCGAGUCCCGGACUUCCUCCUCCUCUUCCUUGUCCCGCCGCGACUCCCUAGUCCCGGCGCGAGUCCCAGUCCCGUCGCGAGUCCCGGACUUCCUCCUCCUCUUCCUUGUCCCGCCGCGACUCCCUAGUCCCGGCGCGAGUCCCAGUCCCGUCGCGAGUCCCGGACUUCCUCCUCCUCUUCCUUGUCCCGCCGCGAGUCCCGACCUCUUGUCCCGCUCCCUUGCCCAAGUCCCGACUCCUGGCUGUCUCGACUCCUCGUUGGCCGCCCAGUCUUCCGCAUAGGUGGAAAUAAAUAAAUAAAUCAUUUUUUAAAAAAUCAAUUUUAAAAUUAACUCCCUGUCUCGACUCCUUGCUGGCCGCCCAGUCUUGCGCCUAGACAGAAAUAUAAAUAAAAAAUAAAAAUAAAUUGGUGAAUUAAAAAUAUUAAAGUAAUUUAAUUAACUGGAAUAAGGUAGAAAAAUAAAAGGCAGAAGAAUACUAAAUUGAUUUUUUCAAGUGCCACGUGUUACCUUGCUGAUGUGGCUGCCACGUGGUAGUCCAUGUCAUGUCAAAAAUCCACUAAAUCGUUUACAUGUCACUUUGGAGAUAAAUUUGUGUGUGUGCAAUCAAUUGGUUGUACAAAUAUGUUAAUGACUUGCUAACUAAUGCAUCGU
rnacentral:lncRNA from 1 species